rnacentral:tRNA from 1 species
UGAGAACUAGUGAACGCAUACACGAAUGAAUUUGGAUCAUUAGAAGGAGAUAAAACUCCGCUCUCAU